UACGGGGGGGGCAAGCGUUGUUCGGAAUUACUGGGCGUAAAGGGCUCGUAGGUGGCCAACUAAGUCAGACGUGAAAUCCCUCGGCUUAACCGGGGAACUGCGUCUGAUACUGGAUGGCUUGAGUUUGGGAGAGGGACGCGGAAUUCCAGGUGUAGCGGUGAAAUGCGUAGGUAUCUGGAGGAACACCUGUGGCGAAAGCGGCGCACUGGACCAUAACUGACGCUGAGGCGCGAAAGCUAGGGGAGCAAACAGG
rnacentral:rRNA from 1 species